AACGGGGGGGGCAAGUGUUAUUCAUCUUUACUAGGCGUAAAGGGCAAGUAGGCGGUUUGCAGGAGGGCAGCAAGUCAAAAGGAAAAUCCUCGGGCCUAACCCGAGUUUGUCUUUUGAUACGAUCAAACUAGAGUUUGUAUGAUUAAGUUAGUACGAAUAGUGUAACAGUGAAAUGUGCCAAAAAUUUAUUAGGACUUCCAUUUGGCGAAGGCAUACUUAUCAUAUUUAC
rnacentral:rRNA from 1 species